rnacentral:rRNA from 1 species
CACGGAUCCAGAGUUUGAUCCUGGCUCCGGACGAACGCUGGCGGCGUGCCUAACACAUGCAAGUCGAACGGGGAUUUUGUUUCGGCAGAAUCCUAGUGGCGAACGGGUGAGUAACGCGUAGGCAACCUGCCCUCCGGCCGGGGACAACACUCCGAAAGGGGUGCUAAUACCGGAUACGAAGUCUGURCCGCAUGGUACGGAUUUGAAAGAUGGCCUCUGUUUAUAAGCUAUCGCCGGGGGAUGGGCCUGCGUCCGAUUAGCUGGUUGGUGGGGUAACGGCCUACCAAGGCGACGAUCGGUAGCCGGUCUGAGAGGAUGAACGGCCACAUUGGGACUAAGACACGGCCCAGACUCCUACGGGAGGCAGCAGUGGGGAAUCUUCCGCAAUGGGCGCAAGCUGACGGAGCAACGCCGCGUGAGUGAGGAAGUUCUUCGGAACGUAAAGCUCUGUUGUUCCUGACGAACCUCCCUUCUAUGAACAACGGAGGGGACUGACGGUAGGGAACGAGGAAGCCACGGCUAACUACGUGCCAGCAGCCGCGGUAAUACGUAGGUGGCAAGCGUUGUCCGGAAUUAUUGGGCGUAAAACGCAUGUAGGCGGUAAUUUAAAUCUGUCGUGAAACUGCGAGGCUCCAACCCCUAUGGCGAUGGAAACUGGGUUACUUUAAUGCAGGAGAGGAAAGGGGAACUCCCAGUGUAGCGGUGAAAUGCGUAAUAUUUGGGAAGAACACCGGUGGCGAAGGCGCCUUUCUGGACUGUGUCUGACGCUGAGAUGCGAAASCAGAGUAGCGAACGGGAUUAGAUACCCGGUAGUCUUGGCGUAAACGAUGGGUACUAGGUGUGGGAGGUAUCGACCCUUCCGUGCCGGAGUUAACGCRAUAAGUACCCGCCU